GCUUUGUUAGCAUAGUGGUCUAUGCACUGGAAAGGAAACUGAGUACGACAGCCAGUAUAGAGGGUUCAAUUCCCUGGCGAAGCA